GACGAACGCUGGCGGCGUGCUUAACACAUGCAAGUCGAACGGAAAGGCCCUGCUUUUGUGGGGCGCUCGAGUGGCGAACGGGUGAGUAACACGUGAGUAACCUGCCCUUGACUUUGGGAUAACUUCAGGAAACUGGGGCUAUUACCGGAUAGGAGCUCCUGCUGCAUGGUGGGGGUUGGAAAGUUUCGGCGGUUGGGGAUGGACUCGCGGCUUAUCAGCUUGUUGGUGGGGUAGUGGCUUACCAAGGCUUAGACGGGUAGCCGGCCUGAGAGGGUGACCGGCCACAUUGGGACUGAGAUACGGCCCAGACUCCUACGGGAGGCAGCAGUGGGGAAUAUUGCACAAUGGGCGGAAGCCUGAUGCAGCAACGCCGCGUGCGGGAUGACGGCCUUCGGGUUGUAAACCGCUUUCGCCUGUGACGAAGCGUGAGUGACGGUAAUGGGUAAAGAAGCACCGGCUAACUACGUG
rnacentral:rRNA from 1 species